CGUGAGUGAUGAAGGCUUUCGGGUCGUAAAGCUCUGUCAAGUGGGAAGAACCUGCAGUAUGCUAAUAUCAUAUUGCACUGACGGUACCACUGAAGGAAGCACCGGCUAACUCCGUGCCAGCAGCCGCGGUAAUACGGGGGGUGCAAGCGUUAUUCGGAAUCAUUGGGCGUAAAGAGCACGUAGGCGGCCUGGUAAGUCAGAUGUGAAAGCCCGGGGCUUAACCCCGGAAGUGCAUUUGAUACUGCCAGGCUUGAGUAUGGGAGAGGGAAGUGGAAUUCCUGGUGUAGAGGUGAAAUUCGUAGAUAUCAGGAGGAACACCGGUGGCGAAGGCGACUUCCUGGACCAAUACUGACGCUGAGGUGCGAAGGCGUGGGUAGCAAACAGGAUUAGAUACCCUGGUAGUCCACGCAGUAAACGUUGUUCACUAGGUGUAGCGGGUAUUGACCCCUGCUGUGCCGCAGUUAACGCAUUAA
rnacentral:rRNA from 1 species